GCCGGGCGCGGUGGUGCACGCCGGUAGUCCCAAAUGCUCAGGAGGCUGAAGCAAGAGGAUCACUUGAGCCCAGGCUCUGGGCUGUAGUGCACUAUGCAAAUUUGGUGUCCAUAUGGUGACCUCCCAGGAGCGGGGGACCACCGGGUUGCCUAAGGAAUCGGCCCAGGUCGGAAAUGGAGCAGGUCAAAACUCCCGUGCUGAUCAAUAAAGUUAGAAAGAAUAUGAUGUUUAUUUUUU
rnacentral:SRP_RNA from 1 species